CCUACGGGUGGCAGCAGUGGGGGAUAUUGCACAAUGGGGGCAACCCUGAUGCAGCGACGCCGCGUGAGCGAUGGAGUACUUCGGUAUGUAAAGCUCUGUCAGCAGGGAAGAGCAUGACGGUACCUGACCAAGCAGCCCCGGCUAAAUACGUGCCAGCAGCCGCGGUAAUACGUAUGGGGAAAGCGGUAGCCGGAUUUACUGGGUGGAAAGGGAGCGUAGGCGGCAGGGCAAGCCUGAUGUGAAAGCCCGGGGCUCAACCCCGGGACUGCAUUGGGAACUGCCCCGCUCGAGGGGCGGAGGGGCAGGCUGAAAUCCUAGUGUAGCGGUGGAAUGCGUAGGUAUUAGGAGGGACACCAGGGGCGAAGGCGGCCUGCUGGACGGUGUACUGACGCUGAGGCUCGAAAGCGUGGGGAGCAAACAGGAUUAGAUACCCUUGUAGUC
rnacentral:rRNA from 1 species